rnacentral:snoRNA from 1 species
UCGACGAAUACUUAGUCAAGAUCAUUGCUAUAGUAUUUGUGAUGUUUUAUUGUUAUAAAUAAACAGAUUAUCAAAAGUGAUGAUGAAAAGGCGCGGCUCUAUAAAUGAAAAUAUUUCGAUUUCCUUCGACUUCUUAAGAAAUUGCUGGAAAUCCGAAACAUAGAUGAUCAAUUUUGACCUCCAUGGGAUUCUUCCCUCGUUGGCCGAAAAAUCAGGAGUUUGUCGCCAGCUGAACUUAA